UAAUUGAUUAAUUAGAGGCUUGUGGCUCUCUUCUGAAGGGUGCAGCCUGAAUGCUACCUUCCCUUUCUUACAUGUUUAUCGUUUUCUAGGAGAUGAACAUCUUUACCUUUCCCUUGAGUUUUCUCAGGAGAUGAACACCUGUAAUCACCAUUCUGCUCCUUACUCUUUGUUCAAACGUUAUAUUAGCUCCCAACCGCUACAUCCUGUUUCGUGAGAUAACUCUUGCUCUGAUAGAUCUCUUUACAUUCCCAAUCUUCCUGUGUUGCUUCCAGCACACAGAAUGUCAAAGUGACUUUCAAAUGCCUCUAUCUCAGGACAACAUUGGCCAAAGUACCUGUGAAACGACUUAAUAGAACUGGCCGUGAGGAUCUUAUCCUCAACCCCCCAGUCUCGAGAAUCAGAAGAGAUGAGAACAAGAGAGAUGACGAAGGUGGUGGGUGUGGUAGUCAAGUUGCAGUUUGAUAUUGAGAUUGUGAAGUCAUGGAAACUGAGUUUUGCGGCCAUUGAUGACAUGUAGACAAGAAGAUGGGCUGCUUCUCAUCAAUGACAGACAAGCGUGGUCUAUGGCGUUAUCAAAGACAAUUGUGGUCUAUGUUUUUUUUUGCGCCUUGCAAUCAUAAUACCAUGACAAUAAGAGGAUUUUGUUUUUU